rnacentral:rRNA from 1 species
CACUGCCGAGAAAAGCCUCUAGAUAGAAAAUAGGUGCCCGUACCGCAAACCGACACAGGUAGUCAAGAUGAGAAUUCUAAGGUGAGCGAGCGAACUCUCGUUAAGGAACUCGGCAAAAUGACCCCGUAACUUCGGGAGAAGGGGUGCUCUUUAGGGUUAACGCCCAGAAGAGCCGCAGUGAAUAGGCCCAAGCGACUGUUUAUCAAAAACACAGGUCUCUGCUAAACCGUAAGGUGAUGUAUAGGGGCUGACGCCUGCCCGGUGCUGGAAGGUUAAGAGGAGUGGUUAGCUUCUGCGAAGCUACGAAUCGAAGCCCCAGUAAACGGCGGCCGUAACUAUAACGGUCCUAAGGUAGCGAAAUUCCUUGUCGGGUAAGUUCCGACCCGCACGAAAGGCGUAACGAUUUGGGCACUGUCUCAACGAGAGACUCGGUGAAAUCAUAGUACCUGUGAAGAUGCAGGUUACCCGCGACAGGACGGAAAGACCCCGUGGAGCUUUACUGUAGCCUGAUAUUGAAAUUCGGCACAGCUUGUACAGGAUAGGUAGGAGCCUUUGAAACGUGAGCGCUAGCUUACGUGGAGGCGCUGGUGGGAUACUACCCUAGCUGUGUUGGCUUUCUAACCCGCACCACUUAUCGUGGUGGGAGACAGUGUCAGGCGGGCAGUUUGACUGGGGCGGUCGCCUCCUAAAAGGUAACGGAGGCGCUCAAAGGUUCCCUCAGAAUGGUUGGAAAUCAUUCAUAGAGUGUAAAGGCAUAAGGGAGCUUGACUGCGAGACCUACAAGUCGAGCAGGGUCGAAAGACGGACUUAGUGAUCCGGUGGUUCCGCAUGGAAGGGCCAUCGCUCAACGGAUAAAAGCUACCCC